rnacentral:rRNA from 1 species
AGGGAAUCUUCCGCAAUGGACGAAAGUCUGACGGAGCAACGCCGCGUGAGUGAAGAAGGUUUUCGGAUCGUAAAACUCUGUUGUCAGAGAAGAACAAGUUGGAGAGUAACUGCUCCAGCCUUGGCGGUAUCUGACCAGAAAGCCACGGCUAACUACGUGCCAGCAGCCGCGGUAAUACGUAGGUGGCAAGCGUUGUCCGGAUUUAUUGGGCGUAAAGCGAGCGCAGGCGGUUCCUUAAGUCUGAUGUGAAAGCCCACGGCUCAACCGUGGAAGGUCAUUGGAAACUGGGGAACUUGAGUGCAGAAGAGGAGAGUGGAAUUCCAUGUGUAGCGGUGAAAUGCGUAGAUAUAUGGAGGAACACCAGUGGCGAAGGCGACUCUCUGGUCUGUAACUGACGCUGAGGCUCGAAAGCGUGGGGAGCAAACAG